ACCCCCCAGGGCAUUACUGAGUUUACGCUCUACACCCUUUGUGCACAUACCUAUAAACGUGUUGCUUCGGCGGGUAGGGUCUCCGCGACCCUCCCGGCCUCCCGCCUCCGGGCGGGUCGGCGCCCGCCGGAGGAUAACCAAACUCUGAUUUAACGACGUUUCUUCUGAGUGGUACAAGCAAAUAAUCAAAACUUUUGGGACGGAUCGCUUGGUUCUGGCAUCAAGAACGAACGCAAGUGGGUGCGAUAAGGGGAGUUGCAAAAUUUAAGUGAAUCAACGAACCUUUGAAUGAACAUUGCUUCCGCCAGCAUGCUGGCGGGCUGGCCUGUACGAGCGACAUUCCUUCUAUGAGCUGCUGGUUAGUGGGGGGGCACAAUUUAUAUAUACCCUCUUAGAUAGGGGGGGACCCUCCCGGAGGACGUUUGCGAACUAACUUGACGGCGCGCACUGGGAACCGGAGGGACUCUUGUCUUAUAACCCCCAAUUUUCCAAAGGUUGACCUCGGAUCAGGUAGGAAUACCCGCUGAACUUAAGCAUAUCAAAGGCGGGAGGAAAGAA
rnacentral:rRNA from 1 species